rnacentral:lncRNA from 1 species
GGGGGAGGAGAGAGAAAACAGGAGGACGGAGGCCCUGGGGCUGGGGAAGCCCCCGCCCCCGCCCCGGAGGAGCUGCUGCCCCACCAGGCUGGGCCGAGGGUUGGAGCCUGGCACCGAGCUGCAGGGGGAGGGUGCCCGGGCAGAGGGCACAGGCUGGGUGACAACAGGCACAUGGCUCUGCCAUCACUUCUAAGCCCAGUGCCUCCUGUCCCAGCGACCCUUCCCGCUUGCCCCAUGGCAGCCCCGGCCACACCCCGCCCCUCACGGCAGCCCUGGGCUUCCUCCCCACUUAGCUCAGCCUUGCACCUGUUUCUUGUUCGCCUCCCCUGCCAAGCUCCCCGGGGCAGGGAUGAGACCCUCAGCGUUCACUCUCUGACCCCAGAGCCGAGCACAGUACCUGAUGUACAGCAAGGCUUCAUGGCACAGCUCACACCCUUGGAACACAGCACCUGCCCCUCUGUGCCUCGGUUUCCGCCCUAAGAAUCAGGCAUUCGUAGAGCCCCAGAAUAGUUUCCUGCCUCAUGAACAUGUAAAUAGAAAGACACAGUGAACAAAUGGAGAAUUACGGGUGCAAGUAUUCAGAAAAUUGUACUAGAGAUCACCAAGUUGCAUAAGUCUAAAUGCUGGCGUUUGAGGCCCAUAUUUCAUAGUCUCUUUUACUUUUCCCCGACAUUUUAUCCUGGUAAAUUUUAAACUCGUAGUAAGUCAGUAGAAUAGUACAACGAACACCUCAAUCCAAUGGUUAUCUUUUUACCCUGUGCUCCUUCUCUCGAGCUGGAAGGAAGAGUUGCUAUACUUCUAGAAGAAGGCUGCCUCUGGCCCCGAAGGAGGGGCUCUGCUGCCCGUGCUACACAUGGGGAAACAGCUCCAGAGACCCUCCAGGCUGGCACACGGGGCACAGCCCGGGAGAGCAGGGGUCCCUCCGCCCCAACAAGGUGGGACCCCAGGGCAGGACAGCACCGCGGGGGAAGGGCAGCCCAGACGCACUCAGACCUAACCGCUAUGGGCCUCAGUUUCCCCAGCUGUCAGCUGGAGACAGGCAGUACCAGCCGCAUCUGGUCGGCGUGGGGAUGGAGCCCAGCGGCCGUGAGCCCCUUCCCAGAGGCACCUUCUUCCCGGAGUGGUUGGUGACUAUGCCCCCACCUCCCACACCCACACAGCUGGUCCCCAGGGCUGUCCCCACCCUGGGCGGGGCCCCAGGAUCAGCACCCCAGCCCCACACUGAGAGAUGCAGGCGGGGACAGCUCAGGGCCUGCAGGGGGCCGGGAGCUUCACGAUUAUUAAUAUUUCCUCCUCCCUCGUCCCUCCCCAGACCUGCUCAACCAGUCUCCCCACCGCUGGCAGCAGCGAGCAGGCCUGACAUUUGAACCUACUAUUAUUCCCUGCCUCGCAUUGAGGGUGAGGAGAGCACAGGCCCUGCUUGGCCCACUUCAAUUCCUCUGUCCCCACUGCCAGGAAAAGGACUCAUUGCUCUUUACCGACAGGAGGGGAGACACCUUGGGGUCUGCAUUUAUGUCCUAGCUCUGCCUUUUACUUUGUGGCCUUGAAUGCGUCACUUUACCUCUCUAGACCACUGCAGAAUGGAGCAACAAAUUGCCACAUGGAAGAAUGAUUAGGAUUGAAAAGCCCCAGGUGCAGGACCCCAGAGGGCUGGGUGACAGCGCCAGCCAGAGCCACUCUGAGAAGGAACCCGGAGGCCUCGAGGGGCAGAGCCAGCGGUCCAGUCCCAUCUCCAACCUCGUCCACUGCCCCACUAGCCGUCUCUGGCUCCGCCCUGGGAGUCAGGGAGCCAGUGGCACCCAGCACACCUGCCAGAGCCCGUGAGGCCUGAGGCUGCCCUGGAAUGGAGGGCUGUCAGGCCACACAGGGCCCGGGCCUGGGCCGGGAAGGUGAAAGGCUGCAGUCUCUGUGCUGGACCUCCUGACACGGCUCACACUGUGGGACAUCUGAAUAUUCCAAGGCCCACGUUCGUGCUGCAACGCUCCAGCUGUGUGACGGUGCGGGAGUGGCUGUGCCUUUCUGCCCCUUGGUUUACCUAUCUGUACAAUGGGACAGCAGGACGGGGACAUUAAAAAAUAUUUUUACUUUUGGUGAUAGUCUCACUAUACAGUUCGGGCUGGCCUUGAACUCACUAUAUAGCACAGGCUGGUCACAUACUUUCGGUGAUCCUUCUGCUUCAGCUUCCUGAGUGCUGGGAUUAUAGGCAUGAGCUGCCACACCCAGCUGUGUGUGGAAUUUAAACAUUGUCUGGAGUUAGACACAGCAGGUACUUAGCAUGGUGCCUGAUUCGCAGGAGGUCUACAGUGAAUGAAUACUGAUCCCCUGUUCUGUGUCCACCGGAUGGUUUUACACUGCAUGCUGUUUGCUCUGUCUGAUAGACCCAACUCCAUAUUUCAUCUUAUAUGAACUCCUAUGCAUCUCUUAAGGCCCUAUCCAAAUAAUCCUUGCUUUGAGAAACCAUUUCUGACCCCUACCUUCACAUACACAGAAAGUCUUUUCAUCUGGGCUCCUUGACACCGCCUAUGGCCAUCUCCUCCCAGAGCCUGGCCAAACUACAGUUUGGUGAGCUGAGACCUGGGGAC